GAUCCGCUCCAGGGCAACUGGAACGGAGGGAGGACAUCGGCAGUGGUCUGAGUGAACGGAGUUUGGACAAAAGCUGUGUGCACACAAAAACAAGGUGUUUUUUCUUAACCUGGAAGCCUGAGUACGGCAGCAGAAGACAGGCCAAGCUUUGGCUAAAAUUCACGGCUGGACACCAGAGUUGUCCUCACCCCUCCCGGUAAAACAAAAAAGAGAGAAUGUAGUUUGAGGCGGGUUUUUCUUGCUGAACCGCUCUGGGUGCUGUGUCCCUGAAUCUCACCGGUGUUAACCUCUGGCGGAAGACAUGGAGAAAAGGAAAAGAUGUUCCUGGUAAAUCACUGAAACAAAUAAAACCACACACAACCAGAGAAAGAUAUGAGAAGGGUGAGGAACAGACACAUGUGCGUGUUAGAGACAUGCCUCGUUUGAGAAAAAGUUAAAGUAACCCAUAUACAGACGCACCCAUACAUGCAAUGAAGAAACAGCUUACAUACAUGUGCACGUACAUGCAAGGUUAAAGUAGCGACACUUAACAUACACCUGUUUUUAAAUGAUAUAGUUCAUACAUUACUGACAAUUAAACGCUUUGGGUUGCAGGACAACAACGUAACGUCAAAAGACAAAGACACUGGUCUGAGGAUUAAGUGAGGACACGACAAAUUUAGUGGUUAAAAGGGUCGACUUGGGACAUGUUUUUGUUGAUUGUUUAAGACAAAUGACUACUGAAUGAUAGGAAAUUCCUUUUUAGGUUUCUAAACAGGAUCUUAAGAAUUUUAACACGUACCUGUGUUGUCCUGUCAACUUGAGGGGUUAUGAGUUGAUUAUAUGGAAAAAAAAAAAAAAAAAAAAAAAAAAAAAAAAAAAAGGGGGAGACGAGAUCUCGUUGUUUCUCCCCUCUCGGGAUAACACAGCCAACACAGCACAGCCAACACAACAUCAUUUUCCUGUUCGCCUGUUUUGUUUUGUUUUUGUUUUUUCUGAGAGCCGAAGCUGACCUGGACUCCUACCCUCCCCUCUACCAUCGUUGCCCUCUCCGCGACCAUCUUUGACCCUUUGACCCCUGAAGGCCACAGCAGCUGGACUCACAACAACAACUUGAGGAUGUCAACAGUGCUGCAAAAGAGUGAUCUCAUGCAGCAGAGACGGAGAGCACUAAACCUAAAGCCCGUUUCACUACACGGGGGAAAUUCCCAGGCUGCGUCAGCUGACAGAGCUGUGACGAGACGCGCAUUAAGCCCGGAGGAAAAGGGACGGUGAGCAGAAGGAUGCUGACCUCUGAGAAGAGCCGAACAGCAGAGCUGCAGAAGGCCGUGGAGCAAAGUAAGGACAACAUAAACAGACCCAAAGAGGAGGGGAGGACCCUAGGCCAUGCGUCAGGCCGCUGGUUUACCUAAACUACAGAACAGAAAGAGCGCCACGUCAUUGUGAUGGAGAUUUAAUAAAGGAGGAACACACGGACAAAGAAGAAGAGAAGGGGGGGCAGCUCUUGAACGCGAUUGCCUGAGGCAUUAAAGUUCUGUACUAAAUUCUGGUUUCCAG
ensembl:lncRNA